UACCAUCUGUGGUUAGUUAGUUUUAGUGGUAUUGAAUUGAUUCCUGCCACAAAGCCAGAUAUUAUGCUAACUGGUCUGUCACACGUGGUUAUAAUAAUUUCAUGAAACUUAGUCUCUGAUAAGAGAUUUUAAUUAAAACUGAGAGAAGCAGCAAUAGUUAAAUUUAUGCCAAUCAUGUUUUGCAUAAAACGAAGGUUAGUGUUCAUUCAUGAAUCUGAGGACUUUGUGAAUAACAGCAGAUAUCAUUAAUAGUUACCUUAAACUACAGUCAAGAACUUUUUAGAUUUUUCUUUAUAGCAAAUUAUAAUUACUUGUAAAAGUAGCCUUGAGCAGGCAAAUAUUGAACCUUUUUACUGGGAUGUGAUGUUUGUAGAAGUCAGAUUCUAAAGGACAAAAUGAGCAACUUGAAAAAACUAGGUACAAAAUAAUUGUGAUACAUACAUCUCUCUGGUCAUGGCACAUGAUUGGAUAACUUGUACCAAAAUUUCUACCUAUGUAGAUAAAGAAUGAUUUACAGCCCAGCCGGCAUAGCUCAGUGGUUGAGGGUCGACCUAUGAACCAGAAGGUCCCAGUUCUAGUCCUGGUUCGAUUCCUGGUCAGGGCACAUGCACAGGUUGCAGACUUGAUCCUCAGUGUGAGGCAUGCAGGAGGCAGCCAAUCAAUGAUUCUCAUCACUGAUGUUUCUAUCUCUCCUGCUCCCUCUCCCUUCCUCUCGGAAAUCAAUAAAAAUGUAUUUAAAAGUAAAAAAGAAUGGUAUACAGAUUCCAGAUAAAAUUUAGAAGGAGAAAAUGCUCAUCGGGAAGAUGACCAUGACAAACUGAUUUGCAAAAGAAUCCUUGAAGAAGAUUAACAAGCUUUAUCUUUUUAGAAGAAAUGGGCCCACUGCCAGAAUAAAAGAUGUGCGACCACACCUGGAAUACAGCAUCCAGUCCUGAUUGUUCUAUAUCAAGGAAACUAUAAUUCAGUUAUGAAGACCACAGUAUGGUGAGGGGGAAAUUGAUCGAAUCAAAGUUAAUAAAAUUAUAAAUUAUGUGUGGAUAAGAUGGCACAAGGGAGAAUGUGGACUUGUACAUCCAUACUGGAAUAUCAGGCUUAGAGAUAUACAUAACACAUUAAAUUAUUGUAAAAUAAAAAAAAA